AAAAUAUGGCACUGUUUUAUGCUCAUGCAAAAUACUGAUAAUAUGCUAGCCAGCCCAAUUGGAAAAACAUUAAUCCCUCCCAAUUUCAAAUAGUUUCAAACUAGAUCAACAUUUAUCAAUUGGAAGAAAAUUCAAUUUGUUAUCACAAACUUUUCUUUUAAUGUGUACGCAUCACCUUCUAGACCAAUUUUCGUAGUCUUCCCAAUCAUCCAUCUCAGUUAUGAACAUACACAACUCAGUUCUAUCCAUUUCAUAAACCAAACAAAAUUUGAA
rnacentral:misc_RNA from 1 species